rnacentral:rRNA from 1 species
UGAGGGAGCAACGCCGCGUGCGGGACGACGGCCUUCGGGUUGUAAACCGCUUUUCGGUGGGAAGAUGAUGACGGUACCACCGGAAUAAGCCUCGGCUAACUCUGUGCCAGCAGCCGCGGUAAGACAGAGGAGGCAAGCGUUGUCCGGACUGACUGGGCGUAAAGCGCGCGCAGGCGGAGGCGGGCGUCGGUGCUGAAAGUCCACCGCUUAACGGUGGAUGGCGUGCCGAUACGCCGCUUCUGGAGGGCGGGCGAGGGUGGUGGAAUUGCCGGUGUAGUGGUGAAAUGCGUAGAGAUCGGCAGGAACACCCGUGGCGCAAGCGGCCACCUAGCCCGUACCUGACGCUGAGGCGCGACAGCGUGGGGAGCGAACUGGAUUAGAUACCCAGGUAGUCCACGCCGUAAACGAUGCCGACUCGGUAUCCGUGAGGCGAAUAGCCUCGGGGGUGCCCUAGCUCACGCGCUAAGUCGGCCGCCUGGGGACUACGAGCGCAAGCUUA